UACGUAGGGGGCGAGCGUUGUCCGGAUUUAUUGGGCGUAAAGAGCUCGUAGGCGGUUUGGUAAGUCGGGUGUGAAAUCUCCACGCUCAACGUGGAGGGGCCACUCGAUACUGCCAUGACUCGAGUCCGGUAGAGGAGUGUGGAAUUCCCGGUGUAGCGGUGAAAUGCGCAGAUAUCGGGAGGAACACCCGUAGCGAAGGCGGCACUCUGGGCCGGAACUGACGCUGAGACGCGAAAGCGUGGGGAGCGAACGAGG
rnacentral:rRNA from 1 species